GUCACUAUGCCAGAGUGGUUAAUGGGUAAGACUUGAAUUAAACUUCAGCUAUCUUAUGGUUUCGGCCUCGUAGGUUCAAAUCCUGCUGGUGACG
rnacentral:tRNA from 1 species